GAGGGUGUAGCUCAAGUGGUAGAACACAUGCUUAGCAUGCAUGAGGUCCUGGGUUCAAGGCCCAGUACCUCCA
rnacentral:tRNA from 1 species